ACAUCAUCACUUGCAAGGAAAGCGAGGUGUCAGUGCCAAACUCAAAUCAAUAAAGAGCUGAAGUACCUGUAAUGGUGCCAAAGACAGAGCUGUAACAUCAUGGGCAUCUGGCACAAGUAUAAUAAGCCUCCUGUAAUCUACCAGGUGGAGUGGAGAAGUUGAGCGAGUGGCUGUGUGGUACUUAGUUGCCGAUUGGGGUGAAACCACAACAGGAAGAUAGAAAA